AACGAGGCCGACCUGCGGCUGAGUUACCUGCGGAAGGAUCAUUACCGAGUUGCAAAACUCCCAAACCCGUGUGAACCUAUACCUAUACGUUGCUUCGGCGGACCCGCCCCGGCGCUUCGGCGACCGGACCCAGGCGACCGCCGGGGGAAAACACAAACCCUUUGUAUUACACAGUGAAUCUUCUGAGUAACCAAAACAAAUGAAUUAAAACUUUCAGCAAUGGAUCUCAGAUCGGAAGAG
rnacentral:misc_RNA from 1 species